rnacentral:misc_RNA from 1 species
CAACCCUCAAGCCCCCGGGUUUGGUGUUGGGGAUCGGCGAGUCCUAGGACCAGCCGCCCCCUAAAUCUAGUGGCGGUCUCACUGCAGCCUCCAUUGCGUAGUAGCUAACACCUCGCAACUGGAACGCGGUGCGGCCAUGCCGUUAAACCCCCAACUUCUGAA